UACGUAGGGGGCAAGCGUUAUCCGGAUUUACUGGGUGUAAAGGGAGUGUAGAUGGCAUGGCAAGUCAGAUGUGAAAGCCUGGGGCUCAACCCCGGAACUGCAUUUGAAACUGUCAAGCUGGAGUGCAGGAGAGGAAAGUGGAAUUCCUAGUGUAGCGGUGAAAUGCGUAGAUAUUAGGAAGAACACCAGUGGCGAAGGCGGCUUUCUGGACUGUAACUGACAUUGAGGCUCGAAAGCGUGGGGAGCAAAC
rnacentral:rRNA from 1 species